rfam:Aedes aegypti strain Liverpool supercont1.1246 genomic scaffold, whole genome shotgun sequence.
UGUCCAAGAACUCCUAUCCCUACCUUCUCGUGGUAAUGACCGGGGUACGAGUAACUUUAGGGAAGAUCGGGUAGCCAACCCCGGUGGGAACUCUGAUCGUAUACUGACAGGGAAGG